rfam:Trichobilharzia regenti genome assembly, scaffold: TRE_scaffold0022523
ACUCAGAUGACGAGUCCGAAAUAGGACGAAAUGCGCAUCCUGGAU